rnacentral:rRNA from 1 species
GUCCACGCCCUAAACGAUGAUGACUAGUUGUUGGGGGAGUUAAAUCCCUUAGUAACGCAGCUAACGCGUGAAGUCAUCCGCCUGGGGAGUACGGUCGCAAGAUUAAAACUCAAAGGAAUUGACGGGGCCCGCACAAGCGGUGGAUGAUGUGGUUUAAUUCGACGCAACGCGAAAAACCUUACCUACCCUUGACAUGUGAGGAACGCUGCAGAGAUGCAGCGGUGCCCGAAAGGGAACCUCAACACAGGUGCUGCAUGGCUGUCGU